GGCCUUAUGGUCUAGUCGUAUGAUUCUCCCUUUGGGUUCCCUGUUCUUCUGAUGAAGGGAUCUGAUUGGGAGAGGUCUCGGGUUCAAUUCCCGAUGAGGCCC
rnacentral:tRNA from 2 species